rnacentral:lncRNA from 1 species
CUAUUAUGUUCCGAGAGUGCAAAUUUGGAACGAAUCGAUGACAACGUUCACAAAAACCAAAUCCGGAACAACAUUAAACUACUCAGUUACGCCCUAACAGUAUAACUUUGCAACGAGUACUUUUUCUCAUUCAAUCGAACAAAGUGUAAAAGCUAAUUAUAUUGUUCUAUUAUGCCCCGAGAGUGUAAAUUUGGAACGAAUCGAUGUCAACGUUCACAAGAACCAAAAUCGGAACAACAUUAGACUACUCAGUUGUGCCCUAACAGUAUAACUUUGCAACGAGUACUUUUUCUCAUUCUAUCGAACAAAGAGUAAAACCUAUUUAUAUUGUUCUAUUAUGCCCCGAGAGUGUAAAUAUAAAACGAAUCGAUGUCAACAUUCACAAGAACCAAAACCGGAACAACAUUAGACUCCUCAAUUGUGCCCUAACAGUAUAAAUUUGCAACGAGUACUUUUUCUCAUUCUAUCGAAUAAAGAGUAAAACCUAAUUAUAUUGUUCUAUUAUGCCUUGAGAGAGUAAAUUUGAAACGAAUCGAUGUCAACGUUCACAAGAACCAAAAUCGGAACAAUAUCAGUUGCGUCUUAACAAUAUAACUUUGCAACCAGUACUUUUUCUCAUUCGAUCAAACAAAGUGUAAAAGCUAAUUAUAUUGUUCUGUUAUGCCCCGAGAGUGUAAAUUUGGAACGAAUCGAUGUCAACCUUCACAAGAACCAAAAUCGGAACAACAUUAGACUACUCAGUUGCGCCCUAACAGUAACUUUUGCAAUGAAUACUUUUUCUCAUUCUAUCGAACAAAUAGUAAAACCUAAUUAUAUUGUUCUAUUAUGCCCCGAGAGAGUAAAUUUGGAACGAAUCGAUGUCAAUGUUCACAAGAAUCAAAAUCGGAACAACAUUUGACUACUCAGUUGCGCCUUAACAAUAUAACUUUGCAACCAGUACUUUUUCUCAUUCGAUCAAACAAAGUGUAAAAGCUAAUUAUAUUGUUCUGUUAUGCCCCGAGAGUGUAAAUUUGGAACGAAUCGAUGUCAACCUUCACAAGAACCAAAAUCGGAACAACAUUAGACUACUCAGUUGCGCCCUAACAGUAUAACUUUGCAACGCGUGCUUUUUCUCAUUCUAUCAAAUAAAGAGUAAAACCUAAUUAUAUUGUUCUAUUAUGUCCCGAGAGUGUAAAUUUGGAACGAAUCGAUGUCAACCUUCACGAGAAGCAAAACUGGAACAACAAUAGACUACUCAGUUGCGCCCUAA